rnacentral:rRNA from 1 species
CGGGCCCUGAACUUUGGAUAAACAUGAAAGCACAUAUUACAACAGAGACCCAAAAGAAAACUGGAACUACUAAACAGUCCCUGAACUUUGCGAAAAGGACCCGGAACAGAGGAAAGGAAACGCGAUCGGGUCCUAUUCUGCUCCUCGACGGAGAACUUCCGGCCGACACCGGGGACGAGACCACUUGGGCCGACGAAAGCUCCAUAGCACCACGCCAUAGACUCCAUGGAAGAACACAGCUGCCUCCCUUUGGGCUUCAUCGCCGGGAGGAAUUUGAAUGACCGCCCUUCGGCCAGAAGAAACAGAGGCGAGUCGGCGAGAGCAGGCCUUCGACCGCCGCAGCAGGCGCCAUCGCUUCGCCAACAAAUCAUCCACUUCUGAUGGUCCACAGCCCGAUCCGCAGCAUCCCAACCUACAAGCUCCAGAGCUGCAAGUGUCGGCCACCUCUUCGCCAUCGCCAGGAUGGCCUCCGAGGCAGGGGACAGCAGCAAGAUCCUCCGCCAGAUCAGGGGCAUCGAGCUUAUUACCAGGGACACCAGAGUGGAUCCAGUCGGCAGCAGCAAGCCCUCCAUCGCCACCACCUUAAGAACCGACUCCAGUAGCCACCGCACGCGACUCGCUCGCGCCGGCGACCCAAUCCCCAUCGGCAUCACGCCAAGCUCCGGCAUAAAGCCAAACUCCACUAAGGAAACAGCACAACUACAACUAGUAUGUACACGGCAGCUGCGGGCACCUCCCCCAUCUUCUCUCCAACCGGCAACGCCGGCGGCGAGCGCCCGGGAAUGGGCUGAGCCCCAACUCGCACCUCGAGUCGCCUCCCUUUUCUCCUCUCUCGAACAGCUGCGGGCUAUUGCAGUUUCUUCCGGGUUUUGCACUCUCAAGUGCCCGAUUU